AUUGAACGCUGGCGGCAUGCCUUACACAUGCAAGUCGAACGGCAGCACGGGAGCAAUCCUGGUGGCGAGUGGCGAACGGGUGAGUAAUAUAUCGGAACGUGCCCAGUCGUGGGGGAUAACGUAGCGAAAGCUACGCUAAUACCGCAUACGAUCUAUGGAUGAAAGCGGGGGAUCGCAAGACCUCGCGCGAUUGGAGCGGCCGAUAUCAGAUUAGGUAGUUGGUGAGGUAAAGGCUCACCAAGCCGACGAUCUGUAGCUGGUCUGAGAGGACGACCAGCCACACUGGGACUGAGACACGGCCCAGACUCCUACGGAGGCAGCAGUGGGGGAAUUUUUGGACAAUGGGCGCAAGCCUGAUCCAGCAAUGCCGCGUGCAGGAUGAAGGCCUCGGUUGUAACU
rnacentral:rRNA from 1 species